CUUAUCUGUAAUGUUUUCUAGAUUUCACGGCACAUGGGCAACAGAUGACAAGCCGAUAAGAAUUUCAAUGGGGAAACCACCUAGAUUGGAACCAGCGGAAUAGGUUACACCAGUUCUGAGGGCCACUGCAUAUAACACCUAUCCAGCAAAAUGGGCAAUGCUCGGUUUUGUUCAAGAUAAAUUACUGGAACUGCUGGGAUUUGGAGUAGAUCUGCAUCUUCUUGUAGAGGAUCAUUGUCUUUUCCGGGUGCUGUACAAUUUAGGCAAACAAUAUUCCUCCUGGGCAUUGGGCUGCGAGUAGGCUGUGAAGAGACACAUGGGAUAGAAGCCACAAGCAAAUGGAAGCCAGUAUGAUGUGUGAUUGUGUUCCAGAUCUGCUUGAUGAACCCUGUUGGUUAGACAAGUAAGAUGGAAGCCAAUUAGAUGAACCAUGUUAGAUGAACCUUGUUGUGUAUUUUAUCUAAUGGUUUCAAACCAUGCUGUUCAUGAUGUGGAGAUGAACACUGUUGGUCAUGGAAGUUAUUAGAUGCCUGGAUUGUGAAUCCUUGAAUGUUCAAAAUGUUGGUUUCAAACA